rnacentral:rRNA from 1 species
GACGAACGCUGGCGGCGUGCUUAACACAUGCAAGUCGAGCGAUGAAACACCUUCGGGUGCGGAUUAGCGGCGAACGGGUGAGGAACACGUGAGGAAUCUGCCUUCCACUCUGGGAUAACUCCGGGAAACCGGGGCUAAUACCGGAUACUUUCAACUGGCGGCAUCGCCGGUUGAAGAAAGUUUUUCGGUGGAAGAUGACCUCGCGGCCUAUCAGCUUGUUGGUGAGGUAAAGGCUCACCAAGGCGACGACGGGUAGCCGGCCUGAGAGGGCGACCGGCCACACUGGGACUGAGACACGGCCCAGACUCCUACGGGAGGCAGCAGUGGGGAAUAUUGGGCAAUGGAGGAAACUCUGACCCAGCGACGCCGCGUGAGGGAUGAAGGCCUUCGGGUUGUAAACCUCUUUCAGCAGGGAAUAAGCGAAAGUGAAGGUACCUGCAGAAGAAGCACCGGCUAACUAUGUGCCAGCAGCCGCGGUAA